rnacentral:rRNA from 1 species
GACGAACGCUGGCGGCGCGCCUAAUACAUGCAAGUCGAGCGAGAAGACGUAGCAAUACGUUUGUAAAGCGGCGAACGGGUGAGGAAUACAUGGGUAACCUACCCUCGAGUGGGGAAUAACUAGCCGAAAGGUUAGCUAAUACCGCGUACGCUCCUUGGACUUCGGUUCAGGGAGGAAAGCGAUAUCGUGGGUAUCGCGCUCUUGGAUGGGCUCAUGUCCUAUCAGCUUGUUGGUGAGGUAACGGCUCACCAAGGCUUCGACGGGUAGCUGGUCUGAGAGGACGAUCAGCCACACUGGCACUGCGACACGGGCCAGACUCCUACGGGAGGCAGCAGUAAGGAAUAUUGCGCAAUGGGCGAAAGCCUGACGCAGCGACGCCGCGUGGGGGAGUGAAGGUCUUCG